rnacentral:rRNA from 1 species
AUGAUGGCUGGUGGGAUUGGUGUAUCUAUGGAAAGCACGGGGGGAGCGAGAGCGCCCACGACGGUGCAGGAGCUGGCCGGCGCCCUCGCCGCGCCCGUCGUGCCGGCCCGGUACGUCGUGCGCGGACAACACGACCACGACCAGCAGCCUGCGACGGCGGUAGUGGCGCCAAUCCCUGUCAUCGACCUCGGCCGCCUUUUCAAGCUGGACGACACCACCGCUUCUGCCGAGGAGGCAGCGAAGCUCCGGCUGGCGCUUGAGUCGUGGGGUCUCUUCCUGGUGACUAACCACGGCGUAGAUGCCGCCGUGAUGGAUGGCAUGAUGGCCGCUUCGAGGGAGUUCUUUCAGCGGCAACCGGAAGAGAAGCAGAGAUACACCAACCUGAUCGGCGGCGAGCGGUUCCAGCUCGAGGGGUACGGGACCGACCAGGUGAGCUCGCCGGACCAGAUCCUAGACUGGUCCGACCGCCUCUUCCUCAAGGUGGAGCCGGAGGACGAACGGAGCCUCGCCCUCUGGCCGGCGCACCCCGAAACCUUCAGGGAUCUUCUUGACGAGUUCACGAAUAAAUGUGGGGAAGUGAAGGAUGGUCUGCUCCGGGCAAUGUCAAAGCUGCUGGAGCUCCACGAUGACUACUUCGUGGACCAGCUUGGGGAGAGAGCUGACACUUAUGUUAGAUUCAGCUACUACCCAGAGUGCCCAAGGCCGGAGCUCGUGUUCGGCCUUAAGCCCCACUCUGAUGGGAGUGUUCUUACCGUGCUCAUGGUCGAUGACGUUGUUGGUGGCCUGCAACUCCUUAGAGACGGCGUUUGGUGGGAUGUACCGGUCGUGCCCCACACCCUACUGGUCAACGUAGGAGACCAAACUGAGAUAAUAAGCAAUGGGAUCUUCAAAAGCCCUGUGCAUAGGGUUGUCACAAAUGCUAAGAAAGAGAGGUUAUCAGUGGUUUUGUUCUACUCCGCUCGUUCUGAAAGAGAGAUCGAGCCAGCUAUACUCAGCUGGUAG